GGGGGAUGAGGCCGCAGAGCCCCCCCCCCAUCACCAGCGCCGGAGACCGACUGAAGCCGACGGGUCCUAAUGACCUCACUUCAGGUUGUAGCGAGUCCCGUCCACUAGAGGGAGCUACCAGUCUUCAGAUGAGUGUCUCGGUCUUGUGGCGAUUCCCAGUCCAGGCGUCCACCGAUUUCAGAGCGCUUCCCUCCAUCGGGUCAACCAGUAUUCAAACAUGCAAACGGUUGGUUCUUCACUGGAGGGCAGAGGAAGGAAAAUGAAAAGUCGUCGCCGUUUUCCCUUUUCCAAAUCCCUGCGACUCAUGGAAGUCGGCCACGCAUCAGGCUCAAGUAGGAGCGGCUUCAUGUACGCCGCCAAGGCCACGAGUCACGCCAACGUGGUCAUCUCUGCAGCAGAAACCUCGCCGCCUUCAGCCCCUCUUGGCGAGGGCGAGGCUGCAAACGGGACCGUGAUCUUAUUAGAGCCCAACAAGGCGAGACGGAGCAAAUGUAGGUCAUUUUCAUCAGCGUGAGCAAAGUUUAUUUCAGUCUGCCCCCAAGAAACAACGAGCCAGAAUACUAUGAAUGCUGAUCAGAGCUUUGAAGCCUGACUGUAUGAUUUAAAGCUGCAGCUUCUUUCAGAAUAAUCUUAUCUACGGGUGAAACAAU